GUGAAAGACUUGCCUAUUGAUUGACCCGUCUCCAUCAAUAUAGUGAGUCCAUAGCAUUUCCCCUCUUCCCAAUAGCAUAAGCACGAACCUUCUUGUAGUGUCUAUCCAGCAAAAGAAGAGAAAACAUAUGCUAUAGUGAGUUUCUCUCAGGCCAUGGCUGAUCUGAACCUUGUGUUCUUGUUCUUCCUCCUCUUGUCUCCUCCCAUCUUAUCCGGUCACUCUCUCUCUCUCUCUCUCACACACACACUCUCUCUCUCUCUGCUACUUGUUGCUCCUGACUCCAGUGAGUGCUUUUUCUCUAUAUCUGAAUCUCUGACGAGUCCUUGUUUUUCUGUGUUGUGGCUAUGGAAUUGUUGAUCAGAUGGGGUGCUUCAGGUGAUGGGAACAUCGAUGAAUAGGAGGAGCUUGCUUCAGGCCAAGGGUGGCUGCCCUGUGAGCUUUGAGAACCAGAACUACACGACCAUCACCAGCAAGUGCAAAUCGCCAUGGCCUGCCGACCUCUGCUGCCCAGCUCUGAACGAGUUCGCAUGCAAUUUCAGCCAAUAUAUCAACGACGAAAGCACCAACUGCGCAGAAUCGAUGUGGGUCUACCUCAACGCCCAUGGAAGCUAUCCAGCUGGCCUGUUUUCAAACGAGUGCGCAGUGCUUGACUGCAACGGUAACAAUAGCACCAUUAGUACUAACCAAACUGCUAAUGGAAGCGGCACCCGAGGGGCUAAAGGAAUAUCAGAGAUGUACUCACUUGUGACGACCUUAAUUGUAUCUGGACUCCCGGUGUUAUUGUUCUACUGAAUGAAGUACUCUCUCCGUUUCACAAUGUAAGUCAUUCUAGCAUUUCCCACAUUCAUAUUGAUGCUAAUGAAUCUAGAUAGAUAUAGAAUGACUUACAUUGUAAAACGGAGGAAGUAAGAAAAGAUACACUAUCACACAGAAUGGACAUGUUACAGUUGUGGUAAUAAGUUGCGUUUCAGCAUAUAUAUACAUUACGAGAUAAGAGUACCCCCAGAUUUCCUUUUUUUUUUUCUUCUUAAUUUUCUUUCAUGGCAUUUACACUCAUUCAAUACAUGUGGAUAUUUUUUUUCUUCUUUUGAGCAAUAAUGCUUCUCUUUACUCUUGU
rnacentral:lncRNA from 3 species